UUUCCGUAGGUGAACCUGCGGAAGGAUCAUUAUCGUACAAAAUGUGUGGGGCAUUCGAGGUCUGUCGCUGACCCAAAACUCGUGCACUCCCUAGUGUGUCCUCUUGCCUAAUAAUCCAUCUCACCCUUUGUGCAUCACCGCGUGGGCACCCUUUGCGAUCAUCUCGGAGGGGGGCUCGCGUUUUCCCAACAACCCCCCUUCUAAAAGUGUAGAAUGACCACAUUUAUGCAAUAAAUACAACUUUCAACAACGGAUCUCUUGGCUCUG
rnacentral:misc_RNA from 1 species